UAAGAAACACACCACACACCGUUAACAAAAAACAGGACACAGAAAAUUUGAACAUAGUUUAUGCCGGUUUACUCCACAAUAUCAAAAUAUUGUACACUCCUAGUCAGAACCAAUAGCCAAAACAAACACGGAAAACACACCAAUACUACAACAUCUCUGUAACACACUCACACAUAGGUAGGGGGGGUACUGUCAAUAAUUGUCGCUACCAAGAAAGUGGUGGUUACCAAUACGAGCUUUAUACGAAAAGGGAAAGUAAAACACGAAAAGUACCGCGUAAACAAGCUCGGGUUCCACUGUCCAAAUUGACCGUUGGUUUUAUCCAGAUUACCCGGAUGAAUACCAAUCAGAAACAACAAACGACACUAACGACAGUUUACACUUUGACUAAAACUACACUGGACGAGAAACAAUCCUUCUUAAUUCCCUGAAGAAGACCCCAUAGAGGGUUGAAACGUUGGAUACGAGAAAAUAAGCGUUGUUUCGAAUUUUCCCGCCAAGACCGAAAAGCCGAAAACCUAACCUAUAAUUAUAUUUAA